rnacentral:misc_RNA from 1 species
GAUGAAGAACGCAGCGAAAUGCGAUAAGUAAUGUGAAUUGCAGAAUUCAGUGAAUCAUCGAAUCUUUGAACGCACAUUGCGCCCGCCAGUAUUCUGGCGGGCAUGCCUGUUCGAGCGUCAUUACAACCCUCAGGCCCCCGGGCCUGGCGUUGGGGAUCGGCAGAAGCCCCCUGUGGGCACACGCCGUCCCUCAAAUACAGUGGCGGUCCCGCCGCAGCUUCCAUUGCGUAGUAGCUAACACCUCGCAACUGGAAAGCGGCGCGGCCAUGCCGUAAAACACCCAACUUCUGAAUGUUGACCUCGAAUCAGGUAGGAAUACCCGCUGAACUUAAGCAUAUCAAUAAGCGGAGGA